AAAGUCUGACCUGCCCUAUGAAGUUAAAUUUAAAUGGCUGCGAUAUCCUGAUCGUACAAAGGUAGCAUAAUAAUUAGUUUCUUAAUUAGGAACUGGUAUGAAGGGUCAUACGAGAAAAAGACUGUCUCAGUUUAAUUUUAAUUAAAAUUUUAUUUUUAAGUAAGAAAGCUUAAAUGAAUUUAAAAGACGAGAAGACCCUAUAGAGUUUUAUAUAUAUUAUUUAAAUUAAAAAAUUUAAGUAUUUUUUUUUUAACUUAAAUAAUAUAUAUUUGGUUGGGGUGAUUAGGAAAUUAAAUGAACUUUCUUUAUUAAGUGAUUCCAUUAAUUUAUGAAUAAUUGAUCCA
rnacentral:rRNA from 1 species